CCAGAGUUGGAGCGGCCGCCGGCCCAGCCCCCACGCGUCUCCGCGCGCCGCCACCUACCUGUCGGGCCCGGCUCAGCCCGCGCGGGGCAUGGGGCUCGCUGGGGUCCCCGCCUGCCCGCCGCCGCCCUGGCGUCCUCCCGCGCCGCGCGCCCUAGCCGCGCCGGGCCAUCGCGGGCGCCUCGGCGGGAGCUCCGCGCGCCCCAGCUCCGUGCUGCUCCGGCCUCCGGGGCCCGGGCGUCUCCGCCCCCGGCUCAGCCCUGGCUCCUCCCCACCGCGCCGCGCCCUCCUCGCGCGCUGGGCUCCGUCCCGGCCGCCGCCGCUCGCUCCGGGCUGCAGGGCGGCCGGCUCCGGACUCCGCGGGCUGCGACUGAGCCGGUGCGAAGGCGGCGCGCGGGCGGGGGUGGGGCCGGGGCGCGCGCCGAGCGGCGGGCAGGCGGGGCUCAACUCCGCGCUACCGUAAUCCGCCUAAAGCUGGCGCAGCACGUCCACUGCCGGGCCGCGGGGAGACCACGUGGACCGAACUUCAGGGGAGAACAGACCGGCACGUGGGACGGGCCGUGGGGCUACGGAUCUGAAAGGGGCUUUGCAGAGAGACCUCAGAGGGUGUCCGGCCUCGGAGCGGUUCCAGGGAACGCUGUGCCAACCCCACCUUCCUGUGGAGCCCUGAGGCAGCAUCCCAUGGAGUCUCCCCGAAUGCAGAGCAGCUGCCUCAGUCCCAACACAAGGACUUUAAGCUCUGUCUGCCCAGCAAGCAGAAGAGCAUGCAGCGUGAACCCAGGGUCAUUCCGGACUCCCGACGCCGCCAGUCCCUUGGUGAGACAGCAGCACCACUGGCGUCCGUGGCCUCUGUUUCCGUGGCAACCCAGUAACCAUUAAUUUUCAAUUAAAGGAGACAAAAAGCUCAAUGACAGCUCCAGGUCCGCUGAAGAUGUCAAGAAUGUGUAUUAAUAUACAGCACGAGAGCAUAAUUGUGUGUCCAUCUUCCAGAGCAGCGAAAAAUGGAGGGAUAAUUACCAGCUCGAAAGCCACUCUGUAAUUUAGUUCUUACUGUCACCACAACCCUGCACAUUAGCAUAAAUUAAAAGCGGAGUUUAUUGUUAUCAAAGUGCAUCGAUACCGCCAGACCCGCUUUCUUGCUUUUAACUGUUUGUUGUGGGCAAGUGACUCCCCGACUCUCACCAGGGCCUCCCCAGGAUGGGCACAG
rnacentral:lncRNA from 1 species